AUGGCAUCGACCUCCAUGGACGCAAAGGGAGAGAAACAGAGACGUGGAUUUUGGAGAGGAAUUUUCUUUUAAUUGUUUUGGACGAAAGGAAAGCGAAGGAAGAGAAAUCUUGACAAUGGACGUUGGGUCGACGCAAUAUUCUCACUCAAUCAUUGUCGCCGAACUGUAAUUCCUGUGUCGCCGGUCAUGUGAUGCCGGCAACUCUUCGAGCAGUCUUCGGUCUAGAGUGAAUGUAUUAGACACGGUAUAGAGAAAAGUAUUGGGAUUGAAGGACAGAAACUUCAAUAAGCAACAUCAGAACUGAAGAUGAAGAAGUUAUGUUUUAGAUCGUUUGCCACUUGCAAUGGGAAAAAAGAAAUUAGCUCUUCCAUCAACAAAUGACAGCGAAGUAGUCCCCAAUGUUCCAAGGAAGCAAAUAGAUGAUAGUGAAAGGUCCAGCACCAGUCCUAAACUUAGAAGGACCCGGUCAUUAUCUUCCGCUGCAUUCAAAUAAACUUCUAUGAUUCGUCAGGAAAUGCCAAAUGAUUACCAUAGCUCGGGACCUGUUAGGCCAUGCUCCAGAACUUGCUAUGAUUCGUCAGGAAAUUCUUCCACUAGCUCCAGUACUGUUUCAAAUGGAGUCUUAGCCCGCUACAUUGAUGGUGAACAACAUCGGGAAAUAAAUGGAUCCAUGAAUAAGUAUUCUCAGAGAAGUAACGGGUGGCGGCCUCCUCGAGCACAGUGUCUGCCACCUUCUUCAACAACAGCUACAGAUAAACCCAGAUUCUAUUCAUCAAGAGAAGCUAAAUGUUCUUUUCCUCGUUUCUUGUCUGAAGAAGUGGGAGAAUAUGGAUUUGGGAAUGACUCACCUCGAAGUAUUGCAAAGACCGUUGUUAACAGACUCUCACAACAUCAUGCUGUGCCUAAAGCGACCUCUAAAGAGCUUGGUGAAAAUAUACCCAUCAAAGUUACAGACAAUGGGAGUGAGAGUGGUGAUAUAACCAUCAAGUUGGAUAGUGAAAUGUCAACUCGUGUUUACCAUCUUCAAAAUCAAGGUCUGGUAUUGCUAAAUGUCAACUCAAUUUUGUUCCAACUUACUUGAGUUCAUCAAAGAGAAAGUUGGUCGGUUUCAUCCAACCGAGCAUAGAAUAGAGCAUAUCAAGAAUUGUUUGGAUGGACAAUUUUUUCUUGAAUCUGAAACGAAAAUUCGGGGCUUCAAGCAUAGGAUUGAGAGCUUGACAAAGAGUUUACAGAAACUAUCUAUAUUGUUGCAAGCGAAGUCUGAUCCCAGUUCACUGAGUUUUGGUGUAAACAAUGCACUACAACUCAAUAGUCAAUA